rnacentral:rRNA from 1 species
GCAUAUCAAUAAGCGGAGGAAAAGAAACCAACCGGGAUUGCCUCAGUAACGGCGAGUGAAGCGGCAAGAGCUCAAAUUUGAAAGCUGGCCCCUUCGGGGUCCGCGUUGUAAUUUGCAGAGGAUGCUUCGGGUGCGGCCCCUGUCUAAGUGCCCUGGAACGGGCCGUCAGAGAGGGUGAGAAUCCCGUCUUGGGCAGGGUGCCCGUGCCCGUGUGAAGCUCCUUCGACGAGUCGAGUUGUUUGGGAAUGCAGCUCUAAAUGGGUGGUAAAUUUCAUCUAAAGCUAAAUACCGGCCGGAGACCGAUAGCGCACAAGUAGAGUGAUCGAAAGAUGAAAAGCACUUUGAAAAGAGAGUUAAACAGCACGUGAAAUUGUUGAAAGGGAAGCGCUUGCGACCAGACUCGGCCCCGGGGUUCAGCCAGCAUUCGUGCUGGUGUACUUCCCCGGGGGCGGGCCAGCGUCGGUUUGGGCGGCCGGUCAAAGGCCCCAGGAAUGUAUCGCCCUCCGGGGUUGUCUUAUAGCCUGGGGUGCAAUGCGGCCAGCCCGGACCGAGGAACGCGCUUCGGCACGGACGCUGGCGUAAUGGUCGCAAACGACCCGUCUUGAAACACGGACCAAGGAGUCUAACAUCUACGCGAGUGUUCGGGUGUCAAACCCGUACGCGCAGUGAAAGCGAACGGAGGUGGGAGCCCCCCCGGGGCGCACCAUCGACCGAUCCUGAUGUCUUCGGAUGGAUUUGAGUAAGAGCGUAGCUGUGGGGACCCGAAAGAUGGUGAACUAUGCCUGAAUAGGGCGAAGCCAGAGGAAACUCUGGUGGAGGCUCGCAGCGGUUCUGACGUGCAAAUCGAUCGUCAAAUUUGGGUAUAGGGGCGAAAGACUAAUCGAACCAUCUGGUAGCUGGUCUGC